UACGGGGGGGGGCAAGCGUUGUUCGGAAUUACUGGGCGUAAAGGGCUCGUAGGCGGCCAACUAAGUCAGACGUGAAAUCCCUAGGCUCAACCUAGGAACUGCGUCUGAUACUGGAUGGCUUGAAUCCGGGAGAGGGAUGCAGAAUUCCAGGUGUAGCGGUGAAAUGCGUAGAUAUCUGGAGGAAUACCGGUGGCGAAAGCGACUCUCUGGACGGCAACUGACGCUGAGGCACGAAAGCGUGGGGAGCAAACAGG
rnacentral:rRNA from 1 species